GACACUGCAAGACUACGAAUUCCAGAAGGCCUUGCGGCGAGACCCACUCUCUCCACACACUCUUGCACCCGGAAAGAGGGCAGCGGCCUCACGAGGGAUCCUGGGAAAGUAGUCGCUUUAACGGAGCCGGGCUGGUACGUGCUACAGGCCCAUUGAAGAACUGAGGCCUAUCAACACCCAUGAGAGUUAACUUGGAGGCAAACUCUUUAGCCCCAGUCAUACCUUGCGAUGGCUGUCGACCUGGACAGUAGCUAGUCUACAGCCUUGUGGAAGACCCGAGCCAGAUCCACCCUCUCAGCCACGCCUGAACUCCCGACUCUGAGAAACUGCAUGAGAUAAUACAAGUUUGUUGUUUUAAGAUGCUAAA